UAGUGAGUUUGAUCCUGGCUCAGGAUGAACGCUGGCGGUCUGCUUAACACAUGCAAGUCGAACGCAAGUAGAAAUACUUGAGUGGCGGACGGGUGAGUAACGCGUGAGAAUCUGCCCUUCUGGUCGGGGACAACCACUGGAAACGGUGGCUAAUACCGGAUAUGCCUAUGGGUGAAAGAUUAAUUGCCCGUGAAGAAGAGCUCGCGUCAGAUUAGCUAGUAGGUGGUGUAAGAGACUACCGUAGG
rnacentral:rRNA from 1 species